rnacentral:tRNA from 1 species
GGAGGGGUGCCGGAGUGGACGAACGGGACGGUCUUGAAAACCGUUGAGCGCAAGCUCCGUGGGUUCGAAUCCCACUCCCUCCG